AGUCUCACAAAUCAAACUCCUUUCUUUCCUUCUAAAGAAUUAAAUUCGAGAGAAUUCUAAUAUUGCUCUUGAGUUCAUUCAAAAUGGGAAAGAGUUUCAACAGCAAAACUUUCUUUGCCGCGCUUCUUCUUAUUCUCACCAUUGUGAUUUGUUCUGUCGACGUUACUGUUGGGGGCCGCCGCUUGAGUGGUGCUAGCUCGACAAGUAGUAGCAGUGUGGGCGGUUUGUUGGGUGCGGGUGAGGGCGAAGGUACCAAUGUGGACGUAUCGUUAGGUGAUGUGGGCGGUUUGAUAAAUGGAUAGCUUCGGUGAUGGCAGUAACAGUGGUGGUCAAGCGGGGAACCUAGUUGACCCUUGGAUUCCUAACGUUCAUGGUGAAUUUGCUUUUCUCGUUAUAAGCGCACAGUCGAGUAUCGAUUUAAUUAUGUUUUGUGUUCUUCUCUUAUUCUUUUUCGGGUGCUGACAUCACCGUAGUAUAAUAGUAAAAUCGUUGGGCAAUACGAGCGAUCUGAGCAUCAACUUUUUGGUA